AAACGACUCUCGGCAACGGAUAUCUCGGCUCUCGCAUCGAUGAAGAACGUAGCGAAAUGCGAUACUUGGUGUGAAUUGCAGAAUCCCGCGAACCAUCGAGUCUUUGAACGCAAGUUGCGCCCGAAGCCAUUAGGUCGAGGGCACGUCUGCCUGGGCGUCUCACG
rnacentral:rRNA from 3 species